rnacentral:rRNA from 1 species
UCGGGUUGUAAAGCACUUUUGUCCGGAAAGAAAUCCUCUGGGUUAAUACCUCGGGGGGAUGACGGUACCGGAAGAAUAAGCACCGGCUAACUACGUGCCAGCAGCCGCGGUAAUACGUAGGGUGCGAGCGUUAAUCGGAAUUACUGGGCGUAAAGCGUGCGCAGGCGGUUCGCUAAGACCGAUGUGAAAUCCCCGGGCUUAACCUGGGAACUGCAUUGGUGACUGGCGAGCUAGAGUGUGGCAGAGGGGGGUAGAAUUUCCACGUGUAGCAGUGAAAUGCGUAGAGAUGUGGAGGAAUACCGAUGGCGAAGGCAGCCCCCUGGGCUAACACUGACGCUCAUGCACGAAAGCGUGGGGAGCAAACAGGAUUAGAUACCCUGGUAGUCCACGCCCUAAACGAUGUCAACUAGUUGUUGGGGAUUCAUUUCCUUAGUAACGUAGCUAACGCGUGAAGUUGACCGCCUGGGGAGUACGGUCGCAAGAUUAAAACUCAAAGGAAUUGACGGGGACCCGCACAAGCGGUGGAUGAUGUGGAUUAAUUCGAUGCAACGCGAAAAACCUUACCUACCCUUGACAUGGACGGAACUCCGCUG